AGAUUGGUAGCUGCAACGAAGUGUUUCGCACACGGGCUUUCAACUACC
ncrna:unclassified sequences ssnA RNA